UGUCCGCCAUGUUUUCAUGGGAGCAGAAGAUUGAUCUCUACUGCCCCCUAGUGACAGGCAGACAAUGCGCACCGGUCAUACAAACAGGAACUACAGGGUUGUCACGUGACUGUUGUGUGUGAAAAUCCCAGGAGCUGAAAUACUCAAACCAUCCCAACACCAACAACCAUGGUCAAAGUCUCGGAGAUUACAUUUCCCCCCGAUUCUGCUUGCAUCUCUUGCAGGAAAGACAAUAAACUCCUGCAUUGAUGCAUGAGGAUGGGUUACAAAAACUCAUCCUUUUAGGGCCUGUGAUUUUGGUGGUUUUCUUAAUAAUAAAUAAUAAUCCAAACCUAUUGAAUGGUUGCAUGCAGAAACAGCAUGGUUUCCUGAUGGUCAAGCAUAGUUUCUAACCUUAGGUUCCUUACAAAGGAUACAGAUUUUCUGGAGUAUUUUGAAGGUUUAUUAGAGCCUAUUAAAGGAAUUCUUUCAGUCUUGAAAGUAGAUUGUUUUUAGUGUUCAUUCUCUCACAAGUGGUAACCCGGGCCAUGGCAUCAUAUCACCUUCUUAGGAAGGGAAUGUGGGAUUAUUUAAAAAAAAAUAAGUGUUUAAGUCUUAUUGAACAGUGAACACACAACAGAAUUUUAUAUACAGUAUGUAUGAACUCAAAUGACGAUUUCUGAAAGUGUCUGAAAUCAAGAUGGUCAGAAUAAACAUUUUGUUAUACAAUAUAUUGUGCAGCCCUCCUGUUUAUGCCAACUGUGUAGUUUACUCAUUUACUCAUUAUGUGUAGUUUAUUUAGUAUGAAUAAAGUGUAAAGUUGGUGAACAAUGUGGAUAUGAAUGAGACAAAAAUGGCAGCUUUUCCUCCAGAUACACUGAGAAACUUGUUAGAAUGCAUGAUAUAAUGGUCUCCAUGAAGAACAAUGAGAUUUGAAGAGAAGUGGAGACCAUAGUAUUUGAUAUAAUUACUGUUGUCAUAUGUGAAUCAUUCCCUUCUGUUUUUCUCACCUCUCUGCUGGCCAGUGCUCCAUCUUCCCACAAGUCUCUGCAUAGCCAACCUGAAGCUACACAGCAAGAGCACCCUCACCAUCAGUAGAGUCCCAUGAAGUCCACCCAUGAAGGAUGGGGGCUACCAGCGGGAUGCUUUACAAAUGAAAACAUUGCUUAUUGGGCCGUGACUACAUCAGACCAUUAUGUCCAGAUGAAGCUAGAAGAUAGAAACCUCAGUUCGACUGUCUGUCGCAAUCAAGUUUGCCCCUAUGUUCCAAGAAGCUAGUUCCCUCUUGGACAGAGGCUCAAUCGAUAAUUUCAACAGAGGAAGACUGUCGAUUUAAGAAAAUUUCAUAUGAAAUUUCAGCAAUCAGACCACAGAUCCCCGCUUGUAGCCCCAAAAUAAUCCCCAACAAUUUGAUUUCUGCUGCACUCACUAGUGGACAGAUCUCAUUGGUAGUUUCGUCCCUGAAUAAAUCUGUUGUACAAAAUGAAAAGCAGGUGGAGGACUGGGCCCCACCAGUCCAAGAGAAACUCCUGAACACAAGAGCUCUUAGUGCACUUUCUUUGUAUGCUCUCAGGUGUUCCACAGUUUGUGUGCAUCAUCUGGAUUCAGUCAUAUCACACUUUUAUUGACCUAGCUAUAUCUAUUAACCUUACAAUGUUCCAUGAAAGAGAAGUUGCUGAGCAUUCUCGUUAUGUCUCGUUAAGUCCAUUCUGCCACUACCUAGGCAUCACCUUGUACAUUCAACAAAGUUAACAUUUCCCCUCCCAGUGGCAUGAUGGUGUGGUGGUCAUCUUUGGGUCAACAGUCAACUCAAAAAGGGGUUGGUUCCUCAUGACAUUGUGUCAGGUUAUCCUGCUGAUUUUCCUCAUCCCAGUGGGUUGGGAGGAGUGAAAUCUUCUAUAGAUACUGGAAAUCUGGGAUGGUUCCCGGUCAUAUAGAUCCAGAGCUGACCCAACAAAACUUGCGAGAAGGUUCCAGGGAAUGAUGGCCAUAGAACAAUGAUAUUUAUAUAUCAAAUACUACUGUCACACUGUCUUGGUUAAAUAAGGUAUCCACAGCCCCUGUUCAAAGAACACAUAUAUUUUAAACAAUGUUUUUCAUAAGUAAAAAAGACAAGACAAGAUACAGAAACCAUAUAUGCCAGGACUCCAGGCAAAAAAAAAUAUCUAGGAGCCAUUGGCUCCUAAACCCAAAAUAUUUAGGCGCCAAAUCAAAUUUUCAGGAGCCAAAAUAUAGGUGAUGUCAUAUGACAUAUGACGAUAUCAUUAAAUGGCUCUCUCACACUCCCUUUUCUUUCCUCUCUGUACUGUCUGCCUUUGUUUACUCUGCCUCCCAUAGUUUACACAAUGUAUUCCUUACAUACACAAUAUGUACAAUGUUCAGUAUAUCAUAUUGAAUCAUAUUACCGUAAAUACUUAAAUGUCCAGUCAUUUGUUUCUUUUUUCACUUUUUAUUCAACUAUGUACAAUUAGUUGUUUCCUGCUUAUUCAGGCUCAGAGUCCAUAUGUCCCACCACCACCAUGUCAAUGUCACUUGGCCAAUCAGUGUAGUUAGUAGGGCUGCACAAUUAUGGCCAAAAUGAUAUCGAUCAAAAUAAUUGGGAUUGAGAUCUCAAUUAUUUAUCACGAUUAUUCAUUGAUUUUAGGGACAACAUAUUUUUAUUGCACUUUCACAUUUAAAUAAACAGAUCACUGCUUUCACCUCCAUGUUGUGCUACAUUCCUGCUAAUGUACAAAUCUUUAACAGUGUUUACAGGAGGAGAGACGCAAGACAAUUUCUUUUAGGAGCACUUGUGCUCCUAAUUAAAAAAAUUUAGGAGCACAGUUGAACUUUAAAAAUAAAUAAAUAAAUAAAUAAAUAAAAACCCUAAACAUUUUUUCUUUUUAUUAUUUUUAGAAAUGGUAACAUUAACGUGCCACGAUAUAAGUAAAUAUAAGUAGGCAUGAGAAAACUUGAGCUGGACAAUUAUGACAGAAUUUAGGAACAUAGUGUGAGCCAAGACACAUUAAUUUGAUUUCUGAAACUAAAUUUAAUAUUUUCAGUUAAUUUUACAGACUGUAUGCAAAAAAAAACAACCGUUAACCUGUUCCACUUUGUAAACAAAUACAAUAAACAUCAACUUUCAGUGUUUGAAGUCUGCUUCAAUUCUCAUUUUAUUUAUAUUUUAUGAAGUUAUUAUGAUAUCUAUUUUUUAUAUUAAAUUAUUUAUUUUUAACUAAGCACAUUUUCGGUCUUUACAUUUUAUUAGUUUUCUGUUUGUUUGUUUGUUUUAGAAUCAGAUCAGUUGAUCAGUUGUUCCUUUUAGAUCGGUUCCCCAGUACAGUGUCCAUGUCUGCUGAUAAUAUUGUGUUUUGGGGGGGAUUCAAUCAAAACAUGGAAACUGGAGUUGACUUUUCUUGUGAUAUCUGGCAACCGAGAGUUUAAAUGAAGUGAAUUAGAGUUAGUGAAGGAGAGCACCAGCUUACUGUAUGUUUACAGACUGAACAGUUGCUACUCUUGAUUAUGAUUGGUGAGAAAUUAUUUAAUAAAGAAGUU